UUUAGGAGUAGUAUAAACCUAAGACACAGUGAUGGUGGGUUGUGUGUAGGAGUAGUAUUAACAUGAGACACAGUGAUGGUGGGUUGUGUUUAGGAGUAGUUUAAACAUGAGACAGUGACGGUGGGUUGUGUUUAGGAGUAGUAUAAACCAAAGACACGGUGAUGGUGGGUUGUGUUUAGUAUGAAGUAUUUUGUUGGUUUAAAUGCACACACUCAGUAUCACUUCCCUGUUCUCCUUUCCUGUCUGUCCCGAGUCAUAUCAGAAAUCUGUAUAUACACAUUAGACUUUACAGAACAUGUUCCUCUGUAGCUCAGUUGGUAGAACAUGGCACCUGCAACGUUAUGGGUUUGGUUCCCAGGACCACCCAUAGGUGCUCUAGUCUAGAACACUGAACCUUCAGUACCACUUUGAUGCAGCUGAUGAGGAGUGAUGGUCAUGGGUGUUUAAAUGGAAUGGGUUCUAAUUGAAUAACAUCAAUGAACUUUGACCUGUAUAUUCAGAACUCAGAAGGGCAAGGUAGGUCAUUAAAAUGAUAAUGUUAUAAAUAGUAUAGUCAACACAUUGUUUACAUGGUUCUGUCUGUAGUAUAAAAGACCACAGUGAAAACUGACACAUUUUUUAAAUAAAAUAAAUAUAUGCCCAGACUUGUCUUUUACAUCAUUUCUGUUCUAUUACAGUAACAGCCCUUUUCUGGUGUGUUGGUCUGGUUGCCAUGUUAAUGUCUUUACUAAACAGGAAGGACAGUUCUGCAUCCACUACUUGUGUUCUGACUGCUUUUAUAAGGUUUCAACACUUACUUCUUGUUUUCACUCACUACCAGACAGUUGACUCACUGUACAAGACCUCUCCUCUUCACUUCACUCUGGAAAUACUCUUGACAAUAUCUUGAAAUAUAGUUUUGGGUUAUUUGUUUUUAGUCAUAAGUCAAAUACUUGAGGACUGCAGGGUGGGAGAUGCAACAAUGGUCUUGAGAACAGCAGGAAGUGUGUUGGUGGUCUUUCUCUGGUCUGUGACAGUGGUACUGGGUCAGGAUGGCUGGAGUGUUACAUACACCACUCAGAGUAUCUGUACCUUGAAGGGGUCAACAGUGGAUCUGUUCUGCUCUUACACAUAUCCCAGUGGUCAUAAAGUCACAACAACCUUCUGGUUCACUAAAAUGGAGGCUGGUAUAGAACCUGAAGAUCUAGGUCAGGACCCAGAGUAUGCAGGUCAUCUGGAGUAUCAUGGAGAUAAGAAGAAAGAAUGUACCCUGAAAAUCACAGACUUGAGAGAGAGAGACUCAGCUACGUACAAGUUCAGAUUACUAACAGAUCAGGAAGGAGGGAAAUAUUCUGGAAGUCCUGGAGUCACUCUGUCUGUCACAGGUCUUCAGGUGAAGGUGACUGGAGGACAUCAGGACAAGACACUGACCUGUAGCACCACCUGUACUCUGACUGACAACCCCACCUACAUCUGGUACAAGAACGGACAACAUCUAGAUGAGAGCACCUCCCCCAAGUACAAAUACUCAGUCUCCAAUGACUAUGAUGCCAGUUAUUCCUGUGCUGUAAAAGGCCACGAGGACCUCCACUCUCCUGCAGUGUGUGUUUGGGGUCAGAGCUGCAACAGAGUGACUUACACCAAGAGGAGAAUCUGUGUCUUGAAGGGGUCAACAGUGGACAUAUCCUGUACUUGUGUUGGUUAUUAUUCCACAACAUCAUCAUUCUGGUUUAGAAGUGAUAAGUCGACCCCUGAAGACCUAACCACAGACCCAGGGUAUGCAGGUCGUGUGAAGUACCCUGACAAAGAGACAAGGAGAAACGAAGGUCCCUCCAUCCUGAGAAUCACAGAUCUGAGAGAGGAGGACUCAGCUGAGUAUCGCUUCACUUUUAAAACAAACAACUUUGAAUGGGGUCAUAGUUUCCCAGGAACAACUCUGUCUGUCACAGGUCUGCAGGUGAAGGUGACUCCUGCUGCAGAGGGACAGAAGACACUGACCUGUAUCACCACCUGUACUCUGACUGACAACCCCACCUACAUCUGGUACAAGAACGGACAACAUCUAGAUGAGAGCACCUCCCCCAAGUACAAAUACUCAGUCUCCAAUGACUAUGAAGACAGUUACUCCUGUGCUGUAAAAGGCCAUGAGGAUCUCCACUCUCCUGCAGUUUGUGUUCAGGGUCAGAGAUGCUACAGAGUGACUAACACCAAGAGGAGAAUCUGUGUCUUGAAGGGUUCAACAGUGGACAUAUCCUGUACUUAUGUUGGUUAUUAUUCCACCACAUCAUCAUUCUGGUUUAGAAGUGAUAAGUCGACCCCUGAAGACCUAACCACUGACCCAGGGUAUGCAGGUCGUGUGGAGUACACCGGAACAUACAAAGGUCCCUUCACCCUGAGAAUCACAGAUCUGAGAGAGGAGGACUCAGCUGAGUAUCGCUUCACUUUUAAAACAGACAACUUUGACUGGGGUCAUAGUUUCCCAGGAACAACUCUGUCUGUCACAGACCUGCAGGUGAAGGUGACUCCUGCUGUAGAGGGACAGAAGACACUGACCUGUAUCACCACCUGUACUCUGACUGACAACCCCACCUACAUCUGGUACAAGAACGGACAACGUCUAGAUGAGAGCACCUCCCCCCAGUACAAAGACCCAGUCUACAGUAACUAUGGAGACAGUUACUCCUGUGCUGUAAAAGGCCAUGAGGAUCACCACUCUCCUGCAGUGUGUGUUGUGGGUGAGAGCUGUAUGAAUGUGACUUACACCCAUCAGAGUAUCUGUGCUUUGAAAGGGUCAACAGUGGACAUAUCCUGCUUUUACACACAUCCCAGUUGGCAUAACGUCACAGAAGUGUCCUGGUUCAACAAAUGGGAGUCUGGUGUCACUAAAGACCUGAGCCUGAACCCAGAGUAUGCAGAUCGUGUGGAAUACCAUCGACAAACAGAAAAGGACUCCACCCUGAGAAUCACAGACCUGAGAGAAAGUGACUCAACUGAGUACAAGUUCAAAUUUACAACUGAUGAGGCAAGAUGGGGGUCCAGCUUCCCUGGAACAACUCUGACUGUCACAGGUUUUCAGGUGGAGGUGACUCCUAAAUGGAGUUCAGAGUAUAAGACACUGACCUGUAUCACCACCUGUACUCUGAGUAACCCCAACCCCAUCUAUAUCUGGUACAAGAACGGACAACAUCUAGAUGAGAGCACCUCCCCCCAGUACAAAGACCCAGUCUCCAGUAACCAUGACGAUAGUUACUCCUGUGCUGUGAAAGGUCAUGAGGAUCUACUCUCUCCUGCAGUGUGUGUUCAGGGUCAGAGCUGCUACAGAGUGACUUACACCAAGAGGAGAAUCUGUGUCUUGAAGGGGUCAACAGUGGACAUAUCCUGUACUUAUGUUGGUUAUUAUUCCACCACAUCAUCAUUCUGGUUCAGAAGUGAUAAGUCGACCCCUGAAGACCUAACCAGAGUCCCAGGGUAUGCAGGUCGUGUGGAGCACACUGGAACAUACAGAGGUCCCUCCUCCCUGAGAAUCACAGAUCUGAGAGAGGAGGACUCAGCUGAGUAUCGCUUCACUUUUAAAACAAACAACUUUGAAUGGGGUCAUAGUUUCCCAGGAACAACUCUGUCUGUCACAGGUCUGCAGGUGAAUGUGACUCCUGCUGUAGAGGGACAGAAGACACUGACCUGUAUCACCACCUGUACUCUGACUGACAACCCCACCUACAUCUGGUACAAGAACGGACAACGUCUAGAUGAGCCCACUUCCCAACAAUACUCUAGUAAUAUCCUAGUAGUGUUGGGUCAUUCUGUGGACAGUUACUCCUGUACUGUAGAACACCAUGAGGACCUCCACUCUCCUGCAGUGUAUGCUCCAAGGAACACCUCAGUGUCAGUCAGUCCCUCUGGUGAAAUAGUGGAGGGCAGUUCAGUGACUCUGACCUGCAGCAGUGAUGCCAACCCACCUGUGGACAAAUACACCUGGUACAAGAAGAACGUAACCUCACCAAAAGCAUCAGGACAGAGUUACAACAUCACUAACAUCAGCUCUGAGGACAGAGGAGAAUAUUACUGUGAGGCCCAGAAUGGAAGAGGAUCUAUGAACUCUACAGCUCUGAUGAUCAUUAUAGCAGGGAAACAGACCUCAGUUCUGACUGCAGCUGUAGGAAUCAUAGUGGUUGUUCUGGUUCUCAUCCUCUGUCUCUCUGGACUCAUGUGUUUCAGGAGUUUCACAGGAGGAAGUGAUGCGUCAACAGACACAGAGUGUCCGUCCUGACUGUAACAGUGACACGUACACAGCUCUGAACAUGAGGACCAUGUCCCCUGACUACGACACUCUGAUAAGUGUCCAUCCUGACCCUAACAGUGAUACAUACACACCUCUGAACAUGAAGACCAGGUCACCAGAGUAUGACACCCUGGCAAAUGUGAGGGGAAUCUCCCACUGAAGAGUAUCACCACAGAACCUGGACGGAAGAGAAGCACCACAGAUCCUGGACUGAAGAGAACAACCAACAUUGAACCUGGACUGAAGAGAAGCACCACAGAACCUGGACUGAAGAGAACCAUCAUAGAUCCUGGACUGAAGAGAACCAUCACAGAUCCUGGACUGAAGAGAACCACCACAGAUCCUGGACUGAAGAGAACCACCAACAGUGAACCUGGACUGAAGAGAAGCACCACAGAACCUGGACUGAAGAGAACCAUCAUAGAUCCUGGACUGAAGAGAACCAUCACAGAUCCUGGACUGAAGAGAACCACCACAGAUCCUGGACUGAAGAGAACCACCAACAUUGAACCUGGACUGAAAAUGAUCACCACACAACCUGGACUGAAGGUUCCAAUACAAAACGAGGCCUUACACCUCUAUUCUGUUGUUGCCAUAUGUAGAAGUUUUUACACACCAUGAACUUUAACCUUUCAGUAAAUACUGGAAUAUAUAUUUUCUUUUCUUAUAAUGAUAAUUAUAUAUUAUUUUAUAUAUUUAUUAUAUAAUUAUAUAUUUUUUAAUGUAAAUAGCAACAUUUUCUUGUGUACCAAUCUGUUUACUAUCUUUAGUUUUAUUUCUGAUCUUUUGAUGGGAUUUUGCCAUAUACAGAUGUUUUAUAACAUCAAUAGUCCUACUUUCCUCAGCAACUAAUAUAGAUAAUAUUGACAACAGCUUUUAAUAUAUUUAGCUCUUGGGCCAAGUUUCUCCUGAUGUGUUUAAUGGUGAUUUACUUUGUAUUGCUGUCAGAUAUCAUUACUAAUUUUAUAUUAUGUAAUACAAUAUUGUUCCGUCAUGAUAUAUUUUUUAUUUUAAAAUAAAUUCAAUCAGUUAUUAUAAUUUCCAACAUUUUGGUAGGCUAUUUGUUAGUCAACUUGUCUAUCAUUUCUAAAUACAUGCAGUGGCGACACGUCAUUCAAGGCAGCUGAGGCAGAGCUAAAUCUGUUUUCAGCCCCAUGGUUAGCUUUUUUUGUUGCUUGUUUUGCAUGUUUUUAAAUGAAUACGUGACACAUAUCAGUUUGCAAAUAAAGUUAAUGAAUAAAUAAAGCAUUGAGUUAAUAAAGUCGCAUAGAAACAUGG